rnacentral:rRNA from 1 species
AGUGAACGCUGGCGGUAGGCCUAACACAUGCAAGUCGAACGGCAGCACAGUAAGAGCUUGCUCUUACGGGUGGCGAGUGGCGGACGGGUGAGGAAUACAUCGGAAUCUACUUUUUCGUGGGGGAUAACGUAGGGAAACUUACGCUAAUACCGCAUACGACCUACGGGUGAAAGCAGGGGAUCUUCGGACCUUGCGCGAUUGAAUGAGCCGAUGCCGGAUUAGCUAGUUGGCGGGGUAAAGGCCCACCAAGGCGACGAUCCGUAGCUGGUCUGAGAGGAUGAUCAGCCACACUGGAACUGAGACACGGUCCAGACUCCUACGGGAGGCAGCAGUGGGGAAUAUUGGACAAAGGGCGCAAGCCUGAUCCAGCCAUACCGCGUGGGUGAAGAAGGCCUUCGGGUUGUAAAGCCCUUUUGUUGGGAAAGAAAAGCAGCAGGCUAAUACCCCGCUGUUCUGACGGUACCCAAAGAAUAAGCACCGGCUAACUUCGUG